rnacentral:lncRNA from 1 species
GAUAUGCAUAGGAUAACACAGUAAUAAUACUACUCGUCAUUUCAUCUCAAAUGACUUAACUUGGCAUAAUUACUUUUUAUUCUUAAGUUUCUUGUUCAACUUUUUAAAUGAAAACUUUUCUUCUUUUCUAGUGACACACAAAGACAGAUCAGAAAAACAAGAAAAACCUGAAAAAAGGGAGAGGCAUGCAGUGAUCCAUAGAGAGAAAUCUGAAAAGCAUGAAAAAAAACCACCUUCUAAAGUAAUUCAGAAACACAAACUUGAAAGACAUGAAAGAACUGAAAAGAAACCUCCUCCCAAAGGUAUUUAUUUAUUUAUACUUUUUUUUUUAACUGGAGUUUAUUUCAAAAUUUAAAAACUUUAAUUAAUUGGAGUAGAUAAUAGAACGUAUAUGAAAAAUCAUCUACAUUACACUAAAAUUUGAAUGAAUUAAAACAUCUUAAGAGCAACCAGAGGUUAGUUCUAUGCAUAAACCAUUUGAACUCGUUGAAAUUUCAGUGACUGAAAUCCAAAGAAUCAAGGAGUGUUGGGUCAAAUCUCUUG